CAAAGGCGCUUUUACGGAAACAGUGGUUAAUGUAACGCUUUGUUAAGCCGAUAGUGGUGCAACGCUCAUAGAUCUUAAGCCCGGUUUAAACGAAAGCCAAGUUUAGUUAAACCAAAACUUUAAGCUAAACUGGUGCAAACGGGCAUAAGUGAUUUUUUGUUAGACGGUUUGCCAACAAUAUCGCCGAGGUCCUUCUUAAGCUGUGGUCAGUGAUUUUUUUUUCAGUUGGGAAGUUUGAAAUACGAUGCCACUUCCUUUCUUAUAGUUCCAAUCUUACGGAUCACCUUUCGACUGUGCUUUUCGUUAACAUAUUUUUAGAAAUUAUGACAGUAAAUGGUCGAAGCAUGGUACAAGAACUAUGUCAUGGACUUAUUUAUCCGGAUUUUACUCAGUGCCCAAACACUCACGACCUGUGCUCACGACAGAUACCAUACAAAUCUGUAUAACUGGUUGCCUAGAUUCUUUAUAUCUUAGUAAAAAAUAAAACCAAUUUAUUACGAUAGAAAAAAAAACAAAUUUAUUAUGGUUAAACGUCACAGUAAAUGUUGAAAAUGUACACCAUUUUGUCUUUUUAAUUUCAAAAAUGUUCUGUAAUAUCCUUUCGUCAAUGCUAUGGCCCAUUGUUCAACUUCAUGUUGCAUCAGGAAAUCCUGACUGCUAAGACAAUCUUGUCAAAGAUGUUUAUGGAUUCUGCUCGAGUCGUCUCAAGUCAUCAACAACUUCCUCAAAUACUGAAGGUUUUGCAGGAGAUUUCCCUUUGUUAACAUUGCCAGUUCGAACCAAUCUGUUGAUAACACCUAUAGUGUGAGCCUCUAACGAUGUUUCUCGAAUUUGAAAAUCAGGAUAUUUGGCUUACAAGCGGUUACAGAAUAGACUCACUCUCCGUUUAUAAAUGUCCCAUUGCGACAAAAAGACAUAACAAUGAAGGUGUCUUGCUCAACAGAAUAAACCAUUUUCACUUCCUAGCACAAUAAAGCAAAAUUUUCGUACACAAGCACCAAGAGUUUUGAAAACAACUGUUUUGUUGUUUUGAGCUUGGAUCAAAGAGAAUUACUGUAAUUCAGACUUGAAAAGCGUUAGAACAAUAAAAGCGAUGACUUUAAGUGACAGAUUACAAAUGACAUUAAUAACAAGUGAGAACUGUCGGGGGGAUUUUUGAAAUAAACUACGCCCUUAGAAUCAUUUAUAAAAACCCUAUAUAUAUUACAAUUAACUUAAAUUAUAAUUUUACGUUAAACGUAUUUCCAAGACCUAGUACAAGCUUCUUUAACCCCGGAUUACUAUGUACAGUAUUUACGAAACCCAUAUAUAAUUGAUCCACAGCCUGAGUGACUCCCUCUUUAAUAUGCUCAGAUUCAGAAUUUCCUUCAUUUUUCGUCACUUGAACCGCUUCUAAAAUCUCUUCAGUAUUCUUCUCAAUCUGUGUCUGUUUUUCCUUCGUCUCCCGAACAUCACAGUGAAUAUCUGUUAGUUUCUGGUCCACAUUUUGGUGUCUUUGAUCUUCCAGUUCCAUCUGUUGCUUCAUUAUCAACGCCAUAUCGUCUUGCUGCAACCUUAAGCAUUCAUUCUGCUGAUAACAUCUUGCAAUUUCGCGAAUAACAUCCGAAUUCGUUUCUAAGAAGACACGCAAAGCUUCAUCGUGUUUGAUUUGUCGAUCGUUCAUCGCUUCUUCAUUAUUUUUAUUUCGGUCAAACUCCGCCUUCUCAUCAACAUUUUGCUUUAUAAUGUAGUCCCGAAACUUCUGAAACAAUCCUUCCAAAUCUUCUUUCUUCAAAAUGAGAUUUAAUUCAACCGGUUCGACUUUGACCCUUUUUUUGCGCACUUCUUCGACCUUUUCCCAUGGAAACAACCUCCUGUAGCCAUACGUUUUGCAGUCGCAGCGUCUAUUUUUGAAAAAUUCGUUGGACUCUUCAACGAAAAGACCCACUUUUGUGUAUAAAUGCAAAGUUUUCCAUUCUGUGGUCCCAUAGCGAACGGUUUUUCCGUCGUCUAUCUUGCACUUGUUGAGUAAUGAAGUACCAUUAAUGACACCUUUGGAAAAGUCGUCUUUGGUGAUAUUCGUGUCUUGUUUGUUCUUAAUGAGGUAGGUGAGAAUUCGGUGAGCUGUGUCUUUAGCUAACUUCUGCAUAGCACGUCUAGGACCUCCUUUACUAGUCAAGUUGCGAAACUGAUACUCAAAACAGAAGAACGUUUCGAUCGCUGCUUCAAUUAUCAUCUUCCGAACUUGUUCCUUGUUGUUAUUUUGAAAGUACACCAAGUCUGCCAAACGCUUCGAGUCUUUUCGGUCGGAUAUUUUAUGCAACCAGGGUACGCCUUUCUGAAGACCUGAGCCCACUGCUUUACCAACUAGUGGAAUUGUUGUCGCUGCAGCACUACCAAGAGAGACAACUAAGCCGUUGGGUUUUUCUGGUACUUUGCUGUCAUCUAAGAGUGCCAUGAAAAAGUUGAAGUCGCCUUCGAUGUAACGGGUCAAGUAGUAGGAGAAAUCUUGCAUGCGUUUAAGGAUAAGUUCUUUGGAUAUUCUGGUGGUUGGAGAAACCUCCUCCAGUUCUUCAUCUAUUGAUUGAUAACUUUGGUAUUGUUAGGCAACUUUGAAAAACUUACCCUCUUUUAUUUCCAUGGCACUGUCAAAA